AGUGAACGCUGGCGGUAGGCCUAACACAUGCAAGUCGAACGGCAGCUCAGUAAGAGCUUGCUCUUACGGGUGGCGAGUGGCGGACGGGUGAGGAAUACAUCGGAAUCUACUUUUUCGUGGGGGAUAACGUAGGGAAACUUACGCUAAUACCGCAUACGACCUACGGGUGAAAGCAGGGGAUCUUCGGACCUUGCGCGAUUGAAUGAGCCGAUGUCGGAUUAGCUAGUUGGCGGGGUAAAGGCCCACCAAGGCGACGAUCCGUAGCUGGUCUGAGAGGAUGAUCAGCCACACUGGAACUUAGACACGGUCCAGACGCCUACGGGAGGCAGCAGUGGGGAAUAUUGGACAAUGGGCGCAAGCCUGAUCCAGCCAUACCGCGUGGGUGAAGAAGGCCUUCGGGUUGUAAAGCCCUUUUGUUGGGAAAGAAAAGCAGCAGGUUAAUACCCCGCUGUUCUGACGGUACCCAAAGAAUAAGCACCGGCUAACUUCGUG
rnacentral:rRNA from 1 species